CUGCUGCUGCUGCCCAGUUCUGCUGCUCCUCCUUGCAGCUGUGGUUGCUGCCAGCAGAUUGGUUUGACUCUGUUUUGGAAUAUCAUCUGUUUGGGACUCAGUAACGCUUUGGAGUUUUAUAGUAUGCCAGCCCUUCUAAAGACAGCGCGGGGCUGAGCAUCCACAGGAAAGAGCAGCGCAGCAUGCGGCUCCUUGGAAGGUGUUGAUUGAAAACUUCCCUCUCCCC